GGUUGCGUGGCCCAAUGGCAAGGCGUCCGAGAGUGGAUCGGAAGAUUCUGGGUUCGAUUCCCGGCGUAGCCG
rfam:Fusarium oxysporum f. sp. lycopersici 4287 chromosome 8, whole genome shotgun sequence.